UACGUAGGUGGCCAGCGUUAUCCGGAAUUACUGGGCGUAAAGCGCGUGUAGGUGGUUUCGUAAGUCGGACGUGAAAGCUCCUGGCUUAACUGGGAGAGGCCGUUCGAUACUGCGAGGCUUGAGGUCGGGAGAGGGACGUGGAAUUCCCGGUGUAGUGGUGGAAUGCGUAGAUAUCGGGAGGAACACCAGUGGCGAAGGCGGCGUCCUGGCCCGCACCUGACACUCAGACGCGAAAGCGUGGGGAG
rnacentral:rRNA from 1 species